UACGUAGGGGGCAAGCGUUGUCCGGAUUUAUUGGGCGUAAAGAGCGUGUAGGCGGCCAAGCAGGUCUGCUGUGAAAACUCGAGGCUCAACCUCGAGACGUCGGUGGAAACCGUUUGGCUAGAGUCCGGAAGAGGAGACUGGAAUUCCUGGUGUAGCGGUGAAAUGCGCAGAUAUCAGGAGGAACACCGGUGGCGAAGGCGGGUCUCUGGGCCGAUAUUGACGCUGAGGAGCGAAAGCGUGGGGAGCGAACAGG
rnacentral:rRNA from 1 species